CCUACGGGAGGCAGCAGUGAGGAAUAUUGGUCAAUGGGCGCGAGCCUGAACCAGCCAAGUCGCGUGAGGGAUGACUGCACUGCGGGUUGUAAACUUCUUUUAUCAGGGAAUAAAGUGAGGCACGUGUGCCUUUUUGUGUGUACUUUAUGAAUAAGGAUCGGCUAACUCCGUGCCAGCAGCCGCGGUAAUACGGAGGAUCCGAGCGUUAUCCGGAUUUAUUGGGUUUAAAGGGAGCGUAGAUGGGUUGUUAAGUCAGCUGUGAAAGCUUGCGGCUCAACCGUAAACUUGCAAUUGAUACUGGCAGCCUUGAGUAGAGGUGAGGUAUGCGGAAUGCGCGGUGUAGCGGUGAAAUGCUUAGAUAUCACGAAGAACUCCGAUUGCGAAGGCAGCUUGCUAAA
rnacentral:rRNA from 1 species